rnacentral:lncRNA from 1 species
ACAAAAAUUGGCUAUCCCCAAGUAUGGAACCCCCUCCACUAAAGACAAUGGAACCACCCUCUCUCCACUAGACCAUUCAUGAUUAUUUGUUAUUUUAAUGCUAAUUCGGAUAAGUAAACCAGAAUGGAUUAAAAUUAGAAUUAAAAAUAAAAAACUAAGAUAAAAUAGUAUGUUGGACUACCAAGAAAAAAACAAGAAAUUAAACCCAGCCGCCUGGCUGUUGGGUUCUAGAGGCUAAUGGAUUGGGAAUAUCAAAAUAAUAUACUAAUAUACACUAUUAACUAAAAACACAGGAAGACUAAACGUAGAAUCUUUUAUAGUUUUAAAUGUUGGUUUUGUUGAAAAAAUAAAAAGAAAAUGAAUAAAAGAAAAAAAAGGUGAGAGGUACUGUAACAAAACCCAAAAGAGUUCAUCGUCUUCAAACUCCCUCUUACGCCUCUCAACCGCGCUUCUCUCGAAAUCGCUUCUCCCAAUCUCGCUCUCUCUCAUUAAAACCCUCUCUCUCAAUCGCACACACUAGCCUCAAUCAUUCCUCUCUUCGUCUCACUUUCACUCAUCCUCAACCUUUCGUUCUUACUCCAGAAAUUAAACACUUCAGAGAGAUUCAAGCAAAAACUCACCUUCGGCGGCGGUAAUGACGAGCUUGCAACUGCCUCCCUUCGCUAGCUUUCAGGUUUUCGUGGUCUCCG